UGUGCUACCCCGUGCAAUGGCCAGCUGGUGAAGGGGAAGCCAUCGGAUUUAUAGGACUUUGUUGGCAUCACCACCAUGCUUGUUAUCACAAUCAGUUUCACUGAG